AGAGGGCGUGAAAACGCUUAGAAGGAAGCGAGAGGCGCCGCAAUUAGCCGGCAAGAUUCAGCUGCUAGCGGCUCUGUCGCGAAGCAGUGCAUUUUUUGUCGGUGUGCACUGAAAGCCAUUUGGAUUUCGUUUCGGCUCGGAAGUAGAAAGAUACUAUUUUGUAUUAGUUCCUUCCGUCUCGGCUCGUUAUCCGGUCGGUUAAAACACUCUGCAUUGAUCGGUUUUCAGCAAUCGUUUUCAAGCCUCUGGAGUUCGGCUUUCAGCCGUCUUCAGUUGGGGGGAAGCGGGCGCUGCAUCUCCGAGUAGGUGUUGUUUCGGUGUUAAUGUCGGCUACCCUCCCGACCCGUCUUGAAACACGGACCAAGGAGUCUAACGUGCACGCGAGUCAUAGGGUCUGUAAAACCUAUAGGCGAAAUGAAAGUGAAGGUCAGUUCGGCUGGCUGACACACGACCCGUCGGGCUUGCCCUUCGGUGCAGUGUGGUCCCAUCUUGAAUGCUUGUCAUUGAGGUGGAGAUUGAGCGUGCGUGUUGGGACCCGAAAGAUGGUGAACUAUGCCUGAACAGGAUGAAGCCAGAGGAAACUCUGGUGGAAGUCCGAAACGGUUCUGAC
rnacentral:rRNA from 1 species